rnacentral:siRNA from 1 species
UUAACAAUAAUUAGACCUGGAAGC